rnacentral:rRNA from 1 species
GUGGGGAAUUUUGGACAAUGGGCGAAAGCCUGAUCCAGCAAUGCCGCGUGUGUGAAGAAGGCCUUCGGGUUGUAAAGCACUUUUGGCAGGGAAGAAACAGUGCGUGCUAAUACCAUGCGCGAAUGACGGUACCUGCAGAAUAAGCACCGGCUAACUACGUGCCAGCAGCCGCGGUAAUACGUAGGGUGCAAGCGUUAAUCGGAAUUACUGGGCGUAAAGCGUGCGCAGGCGGCUUUGUAAGACGGAUGUGAAAGCCCCGGGCGCAACCUGGGAAGUGCAUUCGUGACUGCAAGGCUAGAGUGUGCCAGAGGGAGGUGGAAUUCCGCGUGUAGCAGUGAAAUGCGUAGAGAUGCGGAGGAACACCGAUGGCGAAGGCAGCCUCCUGGGAUAACACUGACGCUCAGGCACGAAAGCGUGGGGAGCAAACAGGAUUAGAAACCCCGGUAGUCC